rfam:Hordeum vulgare subsp. vulgare, WGS project CAJW01000000 data, contig: morex_contig_50108
AUCGUACUCUCUCCGUUCGGAAAUACUUGUUGUGAAAAUGGAUGUAUCUAGAUGUAUUUUACUUCUAGAUAUAUUUAUUUGUAUGAUAAGUAAUUCCGAACGAAGGGAGUAGAAU